rnacentral:tRNA from 2 species
GGGCGCUUAGCUCAGUUGGCUAGAGCAGCUGGCUUACAACCAGCAGGUCGUGGGUUCGAGUCCCUCAGCGCCCACCA